UCUCCAGAGCAGAUUUUGAGGGUGUACUGGGGGAAUUUAAAGGAGGGAAGCAGGAAUGAUUCCUUUCUCAUCUCCCAUUGGAUUCUGCCCCCUGGGUUCAAUAAAAGUUCGAUAGGAUUGCACCGCUGGAUUCUGCUUACUGAGAUCAAUGAAAAUCGCUGCCAGUAGACUGUUUUGGACUGGUAUCACCAGCAGCAGUAACAGAAAAACUGGAAGAAGUCUCACUUAUGCCUGCAGUCCUCCCUGCUUCUGCCUUUCCCCACUCUCACAACUUCAACCUAGAUUUCUGCUUACAACAUUACAUAAAAGGCCAAAGUAAAUAAAACCAAUUCAGUGUGAGCUCUUAUUGGAGACAGGUUGCCAGGGAAGGGAAGAUGCUCCCAAUGUGAAAGACGAAGGGGACAGAAAAAGCUGCAUUAGAACUUCCCCCGUGACAGAAUACCCUGUGCCCCUUUUGAAACUGUUCUUUCCUCCAUCGUCGAUCUCUGAGACAGUACAUCUUCUUCUCUACAUUCCAACAUGCCAGAAAGAUCAAAGAGAAGAAGAGCAAAGUAAUAACUACUUUCCUCGGUGGCUCAAAUGCCUAUCUUCAUGGUAAGAAAAUCUCUUUCUUUGUACAGUACACUUAAUAGGAGUUCCUAGCUUUCUUAUCUUGUGAGGCUUGACCAUUAAUCCAGAAGAUUCUGGAAGCUCUGCAAUGAGGCAGGAUGGGGUAAAAACAUGAUUAACUGGAAGCUCUGGGCAACAGUAUAGGGACAAAGAAACUAUUAGUUCUAAGAUACUUGUAAAGAUGGCAGUCUAGGUGACAAUGAACAUCACAGGGUCAAAACUGGUAUUAUGCUGAAUGGUCAAAAUUAUGACACGUUCCUUAGGGACUUGAUUUUUAUUUAGUUUUUUAGAAUUACACAGGCCCAGAGACAGGAG
rnacentral:lncRNA from 1 species